GACGAACGCUGGCGGCGUGCUUAACACAUGCAAGUCGAACGGUGAACGAGGGAGCUUGCUCCCUCCGGAUCAGUGGCGAACGGGUGAGUAACACGUGAGCAAUCUGCCCCGAACUCUGGGAUAAGCGUUGGAAACGACUUCUAAUACCGGAUACCACGCGGGAGGGCAUCCUCUCCGCGUGGACAGACCUUCGGGUAGGGAUGAGCUCGCGGCCUCUCAGCUUGUUGGUGAGGUAACGGAUCACCAAGGCGACGACGGGUAGCCGGCCUGAGAGGGUGACCGGACAGACUGGGAAUGAGAAACGGCACAGACUCCAGCGGGAGGCAGCAGUGGGGAAUAUUGCACAAUGGGAGCAAGCCUGAUGCAGCAACGCCGCGUGAGGGACGACGGCCUUCGGGUUGUAAACCUUUUUUAGCAGGGAAGAAGCGAAAGUGACGGUACCUGAAGAAAAAGCACGGGCUAACUAAGUG
rnacentral:rRNA from 1 species